rnacentral:rRNA from 1 species
AUAGCGUAUAUUAAAGUUGUUGCAGUUAAAAAGCUCGUAGUUGAAUUUUAGGCCUGGUUGGAUGGUCUGCUCUAGGGCUUGUACUGUCCUGACUGGGUCUUACCUUCUGGUGAGCUGUCGUGCGGUUUAUUCAGUGCGACAGGGAACCAGGACUUUUACUUUGAAAAAAUUAGAGUGUUUAAAGCAGGCUUUCGCUUGAAUACAUUAGCAUGGAAUAAUAAAAUAGGACUUUGGUUCUAUUUUGUUGGUUUCUAGGACCGAAGUAAUGAUUAAUAGGGAUAGUUGGGGGCAUUAGUAUUUAAUUGUCAGAGGUGAAAUUCUUGGAUUUAUGAAAGACUAACUCCUG